CCGGAGAAAAUUUAAUAAAAAGUAAAAUCACAAAAAUACUGGACUCAGAUGAAAAUCAAAUUUGGAAAGUCCCUAAUGACAUGGCAAAAUAAAAAUGACAAAACACAUCAAAAACUAAUGGACAACAACUGUCAUAUUCCUGACUUGGUACAGGCAUUUUCAAAUGUAGAAUAUGGUGGAUUGAAUCUGGUUUUAUAGCGCUAAACCUCUCAUGUUUAGAUUGUACGAAAGUCUCAUCAAAUUCCAUUAUAUUGAAAACGAUACAUGAACAAAAUGUCACAAAAAGGGGAAUAACAACAACACGGACCCAACCAAAACAGGGAGUGAUUACAUGUGCUCCGGAAGGGUAAUCAGAUUCUGUUCCACGUGUGGCACCUGUCGUGUUGCUCAUGUUAUUACAAAGCCGGUGAAUUGUCUAAUUAAAACACUGUUAUUACGCAAAUUAUACCGUUUUAAAAUACUCCAAAGGCAGCUGCUGUUGAACCGAACCUAACUCAAAUGAAAGGCUCGCAAUGAGAAAAUUGUAAUCAGCAUUUUAUACAGAACACAAUGUCUAGAUGUUAUUUAAGCUAUGAUGCACCGUUAAUUAUUUCUGUGAUAUCUAUCAUUUCAUGUAAAAUGCGAUUGCAAUGAUAUACAAAUAUAUACAAG
rnacentral:lncRNA from 1 species